UACGAAGGGGGGCUAGCGUUGCUCGGAAUCACUGGGCGUAAAGGGUGCGUAGGCGGGUUUCUAAGUCAGAGGUGAAAGCCUGGAGCUCAACUCCAGAACUGCCCUUUGAUACUGGAAGUCUUGAGUAUGGCAGAGGUGAGUGGAACUGCGAGUGUAGAGGUGAAAUUCGUAGAUAUUCGCAAGAACACCAGUGGCGAAGGCGGCUCACUGGGCCAUUACUGACGCUGGAGGCACGAAAGCGUGGGGAGCAAACAGG
rnacentral:rRNA from 1 species